CCUCUAGCCCCUGUCUCUGCAGACAUUGGGGCCGCCUGUCAUGGGGGAGCUGAGUGGGGAGUUUCCUGGAGGAGUCUGUCAGAAACGGAGACUCCUGGGCCCGACCUCAGGGAUUCUGGUGUGGGGGCCGGGGUGGAGCCUGGGAAUCUACGAGUUAAGCAAUACAUAGCCCAGGAGACUCGGACACAGGUGGGCAAUGGCACAGACUCCGAGAAAUCUCGGGAGGUGCGAAGGAAGGAGGGCCGCAGGCAAUGGCCUGGUUGGAAUCCUCCAGAAAUCACCGCUGGGAAUCAGUUCCCUCACUAGCGAGGUGGGGAGGAUGAUACUUUGGCAGCUGGCAUAUGGUGUUUGGCCGUUACUGCAAUCCCUGUGACUCCAACCUCCUGAGACCAGCCUCCCAUGGGAUGCGCCCUGAGCCCACUCUCUUCCCGUUAGGUGGCAAAGGCCACGUUUUCUCCUGCGACCAACACUCUGGCCUUGGUUUCCCUGCAGGGGAAACUGGGCAGCUUCAAGGCCAUUUUCCGCCUUAAGUUUUAUGGCAGGAGCCAUUUUGCCGGAGGCUGGGUAAGGCUGGUGGCCACGGGACACAUGCGUAGCAUCACACAGCGCAGUGGGGCUCCCUAAACCUCCUGCUGGGUUUCCCCAGGAUAACACGCUAUGGGAAGAGACAGGACCCCAGACCCCUUCGAGCACGUCUGGGUGAUCUCUCCAGGGCUGGGGAGACUGGGGCAGAGAUGAGCGGUUUUUCAUGCCCACCUAUGCAGCCCCCAGCUCAGCUCUCUGGGUGCCUAGCAGCUCUCGCCCCACCUCAGCCGCCACUGAGAGCCUGGAGGAAAUGGGGCUGGACAUCAGCUGAAUUAAGAAUCAGAACCUGAUACUCACUCUGCUACUCUUCUGCUCAAGAACCUGCCGUGGCUGGACUGCACAUCACGUCCAAACUGCCUCAACUUCCGCUUAUGUCAGCCCCCACUUCCCCUGUUCCUCUGGCCCAUCCAGACACAACUGCUCACGGUGUUGGACCUUUCUGGCUGCUGCCUCUUGGAAUGACCUUUCUCUCUGCCUUUGUUAUUUUCAAGACAGCCGCCUCCACGCUGCCCUCCUGACAGCCGCAGCCCGUUUGCACUUUCCCUUCUCUUGCUGGGCAGCCUAGGACACCACGUGCUUGCCGUCCUCUAACUGAGUGUGGCAGGGUGGGCGUCAGAAGCAGAUAAACCAAAGCUCAUGGGCCUGCUCUGUUCCUUCCUGGCCGAGCAAACUACUUCACCCCCAGGGCCUCAGUUUCCCCCUACGUACGGGGGGAAUAGUCCUUCCACACAGGACCGAGUGUAUAAAGUGUUCUGCACAGCUGGGCUCACCCACUCCAGCACUGUCAUUUUACAGAUGGGGACCUGAGGCUCAGUGAGGGGACAUGUCUCCCCAGAUCCAAAUUUCUAGUGACAGGAGAAGGCUGCCACCCUGGGGUCAGGAUUUCCCUAGUAUCAUGUGGCAUCCUGUCCUUUGAAUGCAUUCACAAUAUUCUCCCUGGUAAGAGUCUUCCAGCCUUUGGUACCAUAGUGGAACUACAGGGGCCGUGGAAAGAGCCACCAGAAGCCCAGGGCCCAGCGCUGGGGCAGGUGGGUGGUCUGGGGCCAGGGGCCUUCCUCAGCCAGGCAUGAGGAAGGGGGGGGCUCCCAGCCUCCCAAAGAUGAGCCUGAUUGGAGAGUGGCGAGAGAUGAGGGCCUGUCCAACGGGGGUGGCAGAGAGGCCCCAGGAUGGUGGCAGGGUGGGGACCAGCUGGAAAUGAUGGGGAAAGUCCGGCUGAUGCUAUCUGAGCAAGAAGCAUCACCGGUUAGUAAACAGCCACUGCCCCGAGUCCCUUAAGUGUCCCCCACUGCCCACCCCCACUCUAGCCCCUGCUCUGAGGCCUUUGGCGCAGCACCAAGGCCAUCACCUACCCUGACUGGUCUGCCCAGUUGAUGGGGAUUUCAAACGUCACCCCAGGGAGAGGCCUGCUGAUCAUCAGUAGUGGCCAAUUUUGGGGGCUUCUGGAGCAGCAGGGCCGUGGGCGGGUGGCCUGGUUCCCUCGCACCCAGCCUGGCACUGCCCAGCUCUGCCAGUCACACCCUCCCCGAGCAGCUGGUCCCCAUUUCCACGACACCCUGGCCUGGCUCACAAGACAGCUUUCUCCCCCCAGCCCCGACUGUGGGCAGCGCAGCCGGAAACGCCUCCGACGCUGCUGGGCAGGUGGGGGCUGGCACUUGGGGAGGUCGAGCCAGGAAAGGAUUAGUAACCAGGCAGCGGCGGCUCAGAGCUGUGUGCCCGGGCGAGCGGGUGGCGUAAGUGGAAGGCGCUUGGCAGCAUGGCCUGCCACUCCCCGCCGAGCAGCAGGCGAGAGGUUGGGGUGGGGGGUGCUGUCCCGGCAGCAGAAAUGGGGGUGGGGAGGGGGGAUGUGAGCAGCACCUGUACCCCUGGGACAGUCACAGUGACGUCUGUCUGUUGCCCUGAAGUGGAGGCACAGAGGUCUGGGCAGCACCGUGCUCUGGGAAGCAGGCAGGUGCGGGCCCAGGGCCACUGAGGACCCCAGGCCCUGGAGGGUGGAGGACAGGCAGGCGUGCAGGCUGGAGGACACCAGCCUAGCGGCUUAGAGCAGGAAGCCAUCUGACAGGAAGCGCUGACUGCCAGCCUGGUGGGGGGCCGGAGCAUGGGGGGGCGGGCUGGGGAGACAGAGCUAAUCUAAAGAGCAUCAGGGCGGCUCCUGCCAGAAGGUGACCUUGUGUGCCGGGACAGCUGCCACCCUCGCUGGGCACCUUGGGGCACACAGUGAUGGCCAGUGGGCCACUGCCGGCCAGUUAGUGGGAAGCCUGCCAAUGCUUUCCCUGUGGCUCCUGCUGUCCCCCGGGGGGGGGGCGGCCCCUCUCUAAUCCCUUCCUUCCCUCUGCCUCUCAGAGCAGGUGAGCGACAGAUGACAGGCUGGUCCCUGCAGGACGCUCGCCCGGACCGUGGUGCCGCUAGCUGGCUGCCUGCAGCCUGAACCUUUCUCACUGGUCAGUGUCCUCAAAGAGGCUCCGUGGACAAAGGGAAGGAUCCCGAGGGGCGGCGCCCCGGGUCCCCGUCCUCAGCCAGACUUGAUAUCCACAGCACCCGCCUGCUCCUGCCGCACGGAGGGUUCUGAUUUCCCGUGCGAGCAGGAGCCGUCUGCACGGGGCAAUCAGAGCUGGCCUGGAAGAGGCCAUCAGACCUGUGCUCCCACUGGAGACCGCUGGGCACUGCACCCCGGGUCCUCACACCCGCCAUCACUGCUCACCUGGCUUGGGGACCCCCUUCCUCUGGCCCCGGUGUGCUGAGUGCACCCCUGGGACUCCCUGCUCCUGAGGUACCGGCAGUGGCUCACCCUGAGUCCCAGGGCAUCUGCCGCCGAGUUCUGAGCCACGUCUGACUUCCGAUUUGCUUCUCUCGUUGCCUGUGCUUUCGACAAGCCAGAGCCGGGAAGGCCACAUGGAGCUGUCGUCCUCCAUGUGCCCUGAGCCUUCUAGAAUCCUGAGGGAGGAAGGGUCACAUGGAAGAGUGUUACAGGUCACUCGGCACGUCCCAAGGGUGCCAGGGUCUCUCUUGGAACUUACAGAGAACAGGGUUGUUUUAUAACUAAAGCGUUUAUUUCCAUUCAAUUCACUAACCGAUUGUUCUGCUCAGGUGCCUGCGUUUGCUCACAGGAGGGGGUCUGAGGCCAGACCUCUUGGCGGAUGGUUUCCCCAUGGCCAAGACCUUCAGACCUGGCGAAGUUCUGGUGGAGGGAAGGAGGCAGGAGAGAAAUCACACGCUUUCUCCCCGGGGAAGGAAGGAGCAUGCCUGCCCACGUCUCCGGGGCACCUUCUGCAGGGCUGGGAUAUCACAGUGAAUGAUCCGGGUCCUGGCCUCCAGUGCGGCCUGGGUUAGGCUCCCAGAGGCAGAACUGGGGUUUGGCCAUCUGAGGGCACGCAGGAACCCCAAAAGGGCCUAUUUGCCUGGGAAGUACUAGAUAGAUCGGGGCAGGAGAGUGGGGAAGUGGGCGAGGACUUCCAGCCCUGCAGCCUCAGGGCCCACUUCCUCCACAAUCUGUCACUUUCACAAACAGUCCUGGAGUGGGAUGCACCUCCCCCUGCCCACCCAAAUCUCACUCAAGUCUCUGAAGGGCCCAGAUGGCCCCGUGGCAGUUGGCUUUGGUGAGGCCUGGUGGCAGGUGGGAGGAGGGAAGGGUGUCAAUGAAAACCAUAUAAAAAAUCCAGAAAUGUGCAUAUAAAAUCUCGCCCUUGGUGUAUUGCCUAAGUCAAUAAGCAGAAAGCACCUUCUUCCUGGAGAAGGAUCAAGUCCUCAAAAGGUAGGAAAUGUCAAAGUGUCACUUCAUUGUCAU